rnacentral:rRNA from 1 species
AGGACGAACGCUGGCGGCGUGCUUAACACAUGCAAGUCGAGCGGUAAGGUCUUUCGGGGUACACGAGCGGCGAACGGGUGAGUAACACGUGGGUGAUCUGCCCUGCACUUCGGGAUAAGCCUGGGAAACUGGGUCUAAUACCGGAUAUGACCUCAGGUUGCAUGACUUGGGGUGGAAAGAUUUAGUCGGUGCAGGAUGGGCCCGCGGCCUAUCAGCUUGGUUGGUGGGGUAAUGGCCUACCAAGGCGACGACGGGUAGCCGACCUGAGAGGGUGACCGGCCACACUGGGACUGAGACACGGCCCAGACUCCUACGGGAGGCAGCAGGUGGGAAUAGUUGCACAAGUGGGACGAAAGCCGUGAUGCAGCGACGCCGCGUGAGGAUGACGGCCUUCGGGUU